GACGUAGGGUGCGAGCGUUGUCCGGAUUUAUUGGGCGUAAAGAGCUCGUAGGCGGCUCGUCGCGUCGACCGUGAAAACCCGCGGCUUAACUGCGGGCUUGCGGUUGAUACGGGCGGGCUAGAGUUCGGUAGGGGAGACUGGAAUUCCUGGUGUAGCGGUGAAAUGCGUAGAUAUCGGGAGGAACACCAGUGGCGAAGGCGACUACCUGGCCUGUUCUUGACGCUGAGGCGCGAAAGCUAGGGGAGCAAACGGG
rnacentral:rRNA from 1 species